GAGAGCAGCCCCUCCCAUCAAGACAUCACCUGAUUUCUGUCUGAUUUCUGAUUGGGCUAGAGCUCUGGCUGUACAGCCACACCUCCCCUCCCUGUGUGAGGAGCUUGUGAGAGAAAAGCAGUGAAGAUUUUUAGUCACAACUGAGCACACACCGUAGCUGCUGUUUUUCUUUUGAAUAUGCUGCCAUUCAGAACACAGAAAAAUUCAUAGCAGGAGGUGGCCCGGAUUCAUCAAACUGUGUGUGUGUGUGUGUGUGUGUGUGUGUGUGUGUGUGUUUUGCCGUGGAAGCCUACACACAGAUAGUGAAAAUAGUUGGCUGGCAGCCAUUACACAGAGCUGAAUUUUGGGAGUUGUAGUCUAUGCUGCAGAUAAGGAAAAAAAAAGUAUUUAGGAGACAUCAGGGGGCAAAGGAACUGCCAAAAUAACACGAAUAACUACAGGAGACACAUAACGGUUCCUGAGUAAGGACUACCUUAUAAGAGUGCUGGGAUUCAUCACAGAGCUGGCGAUCAAUAACAUCCAUUACUGAGCUCACAGAUGUAUGAGACUUUGUCCAUUAUGUUCAGCCCCCUCGUGUAAAGACGUCAUUCCUGCUUCCUGCCAUUGUCCAACGGCGGCUGUGAAAUCUAAGGCUUAUCUAUGGAAAUCUCAGGUGUUACCAGUAGCAACCAGUUACAUAUUGGGAUGAGCUGGAAUCUGCUUUACUUUGCACCAGUCAUCACACAUAAGCCCAUACGGAUUAUGAUCCAUAUGCAUUACCCUGACACUGGCCCUGAAUCCAUUAACAGGCAAAGCACUUUGAGUUUGUGGUUUUUUAAUAUUUUGGUAUUGUCCUUACAGUAUUGUAUAUAUGUUCAUGUUUCGUUUGUGUAAUAAACCUUUUUCACUGUUA